UCCCUCCCUUCCUUGUAGCUGUUGAGAAGGGUGCUGUUUGUUCCCCAAACCCUCUGGUGGCUGCUCUGCUGCAAUGGCUGAAGAACGUGGAAGGCAGUAAAGUGCAAAUUCAUUGAGCAGGGAACUGUAUGCAGAAACGAAAACUUUCCGAAAGAAUGAAAGACUCUGUGAGAACCUACAGGUCAUGACGGUGCCUGUACCCAGUCUCUGUAGGGCUGUUUACUCCAUUGUGAUGUCCUUGUUGAUAUGAUAGCAUUGAAAUUAUGUUCCAAAUUUGAGAACAUUCUGGACAAUUCUCCCCUGGAGUUUGCUGUGAGAGCUCUGGACAUCAAAAGAUGUACCUGUGAGCUCAGCAGUGAGGACCAGUUGGACCUGAUCUGCUGUGUCUUCCUUCACCGACCUGAUUUGUAGUAAAAGAGACUGUGAAGGCAAACAGGACAUUUUGGAGCCUAACUGAAUAUACUUUCCCUUUGUAACUGCAUCCAUCCUGCUGGCAGUGGGAAGCUCAAUCUUAAGGCUACAUCUUUUCAAGUGCAGUGAUUUGAAAACUGAAGUUGGUGUUUCUCCACUUGAUGGGCUUCUCUCUAAAUCAGACUAAUUAACUCCACUGCAGACUAACAACAAGGAAAUGGGCCCUGGAGCUUGGAAAGCAUGUGUCAGAAUUGCCUUCAUGCCACUUCUCUGCUGCUUGUUUUUGUUAUGGAGUGUUUGGAUUCAGGGUACUUGGAUACUUGGAUAGAGGAUGAAGAACGAGAACACUUCUGCUCCAGUCCUUGAUUCCUGCCCAGAGGAGUUUCACAGUGACCCUGUGCCUGUCCUCUGUUCCCCACUAAAAUCUGGUUUAUGGCAGUGGGAAGAUGUUUCUGUUACAGAAAUCAGCAUCACUGGCACUCUCAUUGCUUUGGGACAAAGCCUAAUGCAAACUUCAGGUUUCCAAGCCAAUUUAGGAGUGCUCCUAUUAUUAAUCCCCAGAUUAAUAACUUCCAAUAAUAGAGUUGCAUUUCUUAAUGAAAAUCAUGUUACCGAGUUGCUGUUGAUGGUUCUUGGGAGCCAACCUUGUGUUUUAUUUCAAGUUUCACCAUCUGCCCAGGAGACAGGAGGACGCUGGAAGUGGAGCAAGAGUAUGUGAUGGCUGUGACACCGAAGUGCAUUUAUCUGAUGUGAAUGUGUGUUUACUUAGCAACGAGCAGCUGCCAAAGGGAGUGCCAUGGGGAAUUGUGCUACAGAUUUUAGCACUAAUAAGGAAAUGAGAGUGAGAAGGGAAUUAACCCUUGUGUUAUCUCAGUCUCUCCUUCACACACAAUUCUAUUCCCAUAUAAUCCCCAAAAAUCUUCUGUGUGACAAACCACUACAGAAAUGCAAAAUCCUGUGAGUGUUUUUGGAAAGUGCAUUGCGUUUUCCUUGGAAGGGAACACACUUUUCACUGAUUUCUGUCAAUUCACAGGACCUGAGAAUAACUCACCAUAAUAAAACACAGCUGGUUUCUGUUCUGCA